GGAGAUUUCGUGGUUUCAGAUUCUUAUGCAAUUUUGCUGGCUGCAAGUAUAAUCAGCUCAGGCAUACAGCCUCUUCAGAUGCUGACUGUGCUGGCCAAGUUCCCUACUUUGAGGAGGAUCCAUGAAUCGUACAAGACUUUGCCUGAAUACGAAGCAUCAUCACCGAAC